GGGGUCGACUGGUUUUGACAGCGAGAUUUAUUGAACGGUAAGCACGUCGUGUAAUGAUUUUGAAACACGUAAAAGGCUAGAUCACACUUUUAAACGGCGAGAAUAACUACGCUUUAGCUGCUUAAUCCGAACUAUAGUAGGAUUGGCCUAGGUACACAAGGUGUACAAGCUUUAUGUCUCCGGAAAGCCUUGAUUGACGGCGUUCCAUUUUGAGGCAUCGUAAAUGUCAAUAUAGAAAUUGAGGCACUUCGACUCUUUUUUGAAACUAAAGAAGAUAAGUUGUAAGUGGGUUGUCUUUAACCAGCUUGCAAUCGAAAAUCUAAGAAAAGAAUAAACGUGUAGAAAGCCCUUUGGUAACUUGUUUGGACGAGAGUUCGAUUCUCUCCGACUCCACUU
rfam:Formosa agariphila KMM 3901, complete genome